GACGGAGGAUGCAAGCGUUAUCCGGAAUGAUUGGGCGUAAAGCGUCCGCAGGUGGCAGUUCAAGUCUGCUGUCAAAGACCGGGGCUUAACUUCGGAAAGGCAGUGGAAACUGAACAGCUAGAGUAUGGUAGGGGCAGAGGGAAUUCCUGGUGUAGCGGUGAAAUGCGCAGAUAUCAGGAGGAACACCAGUGGCGAAGGCGGGUCUCUGGGCCAAAACUGACGCUGAGGAGCGAAAGCGUGGGGAGCGAACAGG
rnacentral:rRNA from 1 species